rnacentral:rRNA from 1 species
AGAGUUUGAUCCUGGCUCAGAAUGAACGUUGGGCGGCGUGGAUUAGGCAUGCAAGUCGAACGGGUCCGGUUCGCCGGACCAGUGGCGGAAGGGUGAGUAAGGCGACGGCAACCAACCCCGAGGUCGGGCAUAGCCGCGGGAAACCGCGGGUAAUUCCCGGCGACGCGACGACGUCGGCAUCGACGUUUCGCCAAAGGCUUCGGCCGCCUCGGGACGGGCCGUCGUGGUAUUAGGUAGUUGGCGGGGUCACGGCCCACCAAGCCAUCGAUGCCUACCGGGCGUGCGAGCGCGGCCCGGCACACUGGGACUGAGACACUGCCCAGACUCCUACGGGAGGCUGCAGUCGAGAAUCUUCGGCAAUGGGCGCAAGCCUGACCGAGCGACGCCGCGUGGAGGACGAAGGCCUUCGGGUUGUAAACUCCUGUCGAGGGGGAGGAAGGGGCGACCUUGACCGAUCCCUGGAGGAAGCGCGGGCUAAGUUCGUGCCAGCAGCCGCGGUAAGACGAACCGCGCGAACGUUAUUCGGAAUUACUGGGCUUAAAGCGCGUGUAGGCGGAUCGGAGCGUCGGAUUCUGAAAGCCCCCGGCUCAACCGGGGAAGCGGAGCCGAAACGACCGGUCUGGAGGGACGCAGGGGGAUCUGGAACUUCCGGUGGAGCGGUGAAAUGCGUUGAGAUCGGAAGGAACGCCGGCGGCGAAAGCGAGAUCCUGGACGUCUACUGACGCUGAGGCGCGAAAGCUGGGGGAGCGAACGGGAUUAGAUACCCCGGUAGUCCCAGCCGUAAACGAUGAGCACUGGGCGGGGGGCCCUCCGACGGGCUCCCAGCCGCAGGGAAACCGUGAAGUGCUCCGCCUGGGGAGUAUGGCCGCAAGGCUGAAACUCAAAUGAAUUGACGG